GAUGAACGCUAGCGGCAGGCUUAACACAUGCAAGUCGAGGGGUAACAGGGAGCUUGCUCCGCUGACGACCGGCGCACGGGUGCGUAACGCGUAUGCAAUCUACCUUUUACAGGGGAAUAGCCCAGAGAAAUUUGGAUUAAUGCCUCAUAGUAUAUAGUUGUGGCAUCACAAUUAUAUUAAAGAUUUAUCGGUAAAAGAUGAGCAUGCGUUCUAUUAGUUAGUUGGUAAGGUAACGGCUUACCAAGACUACGAUAGAUAGGGGCCCUGAGAGGGGGAUCCCCCACACUGGUACUGAGACACGGACCAGACUCCUACGGGAGGCAGCAGUGAGGAAUAUUGGACAAUGGGCGAGAGCCUGAUCCAGCCAUGCCGCGUGCAGGAAGACUGCCCUAUGGGUUGUAAACUGCUUUUAUACAGGAAGAAACACUGCUACGUGUAGCAGCUUGACGGUACUGUAAGAAUAAGGAUCGGCUAACUCCGUGCCAGCAGCCGCGGUAAUACGGAGGAUCCAAGCGUUAUCCGGAAUCAUUGGGUUUAAAGGGUCCGUAGGUGGACAAUUAAGUCAGAGGUGAAAUCUUGCAGCUCAACUGUAAAAUUGCCUUUGAUACUGGUUGUCUUGAGUUAUUAUGAAGUAGUUAGAAUAUGUAGUGUAGCGGUGAAAUGCAUAGAUAUUACAUAGAAUACCAAUUGCGAAGGCAGAUUACUAAUAAUCAACUGACACUGAUGGACGAAAGCGUGGGUAGCGAACAGGAUUAGAUACCCUGGUAGUCCACGCCGUAAACGAUGGUUACUAGCUGUUCGGACUUCGGUCUGAGUGGCUAAGCGAAAGUGAUAAGUAACCCACCUGGGGAGUACGUUCGCAAGAAUGAAACUCAAAGGAAUUGACGGGGGCCCGCACAAGCGGUGGAGCAUGUGGUUUAAUUCGAUGAUACGCGAGGAACCUUACCAGGGCUUAAAUGUAGAUUGACAGGACUAGAGAUAGUUUUUUCUUCGGACAAUUUACAAGGUGCUGCAUGGUUGUCGUCAGCUCGUGCCGUGAGGUGUCAGGUUAAGUCCUAUAACGAGCGCAACCCCUGUUGUUAGUUGCCAGCGAGUCAUGUCGGGAACUCUAACAAGACUGCCAGUGCAAACUGUGAGGAAGGUGGGGAUGACGUCAAAUCAUCACGGCCCUUACGUCCUGGGCUACACACGUGCUACAAUGGUAGGGACAGAGAGCAGCCACUGGGUGACCAGGAGCGAAUCUAUAAACCCUAUCACAGUUCGGAUCGGAGUCUGCAACUCGACUCCGUGAAGCUGGAAUCGCUAGUAAUCGCAUAUCAGCCAUGAUGCGGUGAAUACGUUCCCGGGCCUUGUACACACCGCCCGUCAAGCCAUGGAAGUUGGAAGUGCCUGAAGUCCGUCACCGCAAGGAGCGGCCUAGGGUAAAGUCGAUAACUAGGGCUAAGUCGUAACAAGGUAGCCGUACCGGAAGG
rnacentral:rRNA from 1 species